rnacentral:rRNA from 1 species
CCUACGGGAGGCAGCAGUGGGGAAUAUUGGACAAUGGGCGAAAGCCUGAUCCAGCCAUGCCGCGUGUGUGAAGAAGGCCUUUUGGUUGUAAAGCACUUUAAGCGAGGAGGAGGCUACUUAGAUUAAUACUCUAGGAUAGUGGACGUUACUCGCAGAAUAAGCACCGGCUAACUCUGUGCCAGCAGCCGCGGUAAUACAGAGGGUGCGAGCGUUAAUCGGAUUUACUGGGCGUAAAGCGUGCGUAGGCGGCUUUUUAAGUCGGAUGUGAAAUCCCUGAGCUUAACUUAGGAAUUGCAUUCGAUACUGGGAAGCUAGAGUAUGGGAGAGGAUGGUAGAAUUCCAGGUGUAGCGGUGAAAUGCGUAGAGAUCUGGAGGAAUACCGAUGGCGAAGGCAGCCAUCUGGCCUAAUACUGACGCUGAGGUACGAAAGCAUGGGGAGCAAACAGGAUUAGAUACCCUGGUAGUCCAUGCCGUAAACGAUGUCUACUAGCCGUUGGGGCCUUUGAGGCUUUAGUGGCGCAGCUAACGCGAUAAGUAGACCGCCUGGGGAGUACGGUCGUAAGACUAAAACUCAAAUGAAUUGACGGGGGCCCGCACAAGCGGUGGAGCAUGUGGUUUAAUUCGAUGCAACGCGAAGAACCUUAC